UUGCCCAGACAACUAGGAUGUUGGCUUAGAAGCAGCCAUCAUUUAAAGAGUGCGUAAUAUCUCACUAGUCGAGUGACACUGCGCCGAAAAUGUACCGGGGCUAAACAUAUUACCGAAGCUGUGGAUUGUCCUUUGGACAAUGGUAGGAGAGCGUUCUAAGGGCGUUGAAGCAUGAUCGUAAGGACAUGUGGAGCGCUUAGAAGUGAGAAUGCCGGUGUGAGUAGCGAAAGACGGGUGAGAAUCCCGUCCACCGAUUGACUAAGGUUUCCAGAGGAAGGCUCGUCCGCUCUGGGUUAGUCGGGUCCUAAGCUGAGGCCGACAGGCGUAGGCGAUGGAUAACAGGUUGAUAUUCCUGUACCACCUAUAAUCGUUUUAAUCGAUGGGGGGACGCAGUAGGAUAGGCGAAGCGUGCGAUUGGAUUGCACGUCUAAGCAGUAAGGCUGAGUAUUAGGCAAAUCCGGUACUCGUUAAGGCUGAGCUGUGAUGGGGAGAAGACAUUGUGUCUUCGAGUCGUUGAUUUCACACUGCCGAGAAAAGCCUCUAGAUAGAAAAUAGGUGCCCGUACCGCAAACCGACACAGGUAGUCAAGAUGAGAAUUCUAAGGUGAGCGAGCGAACUCUCGUUAAGGAACUCGGCAAAAUGACCCCGUAACUUCGGGAGAAGGGGUGCUCUUUAGGGUUAACGCCCAGAAGAGCCGCAGUGAAUAGGCCCAAGCGACUGUUUAUCAAAAACACAGGUCUCUGCUAAACCGUAAGGUGAUGUAUAGGGGCUGACGCCUGCCCGGUGCUGGAAGGUUAAGAGGAGUGGUUAGCUUCUGCGAAGCUACGAAUCGAAGCCCCAGUAAACGGCGGCCGUAACUAUAACGGUCCUAAGGUAGCGAAAUUCCUUGUCGGGUAAGUUCCGACCCGCACGAAAGGCGUAACGAUUUGGGCACUGUCUCAACGAGAGACUCGGUGAAAUCAUAGUACCUGUGAAGAUGCAGGUUACCCGCGACAGGACGGAAAGACCCCGUGGAGCUUUACUGUAGCCUGAUAUUGAAAUUCGGCACAGCUUGUACAGGAUAGGUAGGAGCCUUUGAAACGUGAGCGCUAGCUUACGUGGAGGCGCUGGUGGGAUACUACCCUAGCUGUGUUGGCUUUCUAACCCGCACCACUUAUCGUGGUGGGAGACAGUGUCAGGCGGGCAGUUUGACUGGGGCGGUCGCCUCCUAAAAGGUAACGGAGGCGCUCAAAGGUUCCCUCAGAAUGGUUGGAAAUCAUUCAUAGAGUGUAAAGGCAUAAGGGAGCUUGACUGCGAGACCUACAAGUCGAGCAGGGUCGAAAGACGGACUUAGUGAUCCGGUGGUUCCGCAUGGAAGGGCCAUCGCUCAACGGAUAAAAGCUACCCCGGGGAUAACAGGCUUAUCUCCCCCAAGAGUUCACAUCGACGGGGAGGUUUGGCACCUCGAUGUCGGCUCAUCGCAUCCUGGGGCUGUAGUCGGUCCCAAGGGUUGGGCUGUUCGCCCAUUAAAGCGGUACGCGAGCUGGGUUCAGAACGUCGUGAGACAGUUCGGUCCCUAUCCGUCGUGGGCGUAGGAAAUUUGAGAGGAGCUGUCCUUAGUACGAGAGGACCGGGAUGGACAUACCUCUGGUGUACCAGUUGUCGUGCCAACGGCAUAGCUGGGUAGCUAUGUGUGGACGGGAUAAGUGCUGAAAGCAUCUAAGCAUGAAGCCCCCCUCAAGAUGAGAUUUCCCAACUUCGGUUAUAAGAUCCCUCAAAGAUGAUGAGGUUAAUAGGUUCGAGGUGGAAGCAUGGUGACAUGUGGAGCUGACGAAUACUAAUCGAUCGAAGACUUAAUCAA
rnacentral:rRNA from 1 species